rnacentral:lncRNA from 1 species
CCCCGGGAGGCCGAGGCGACGUCCACAAAUUGUGAGAGCGGGUCCCGAGCACCGUAGCGGCAAGGCGAAGGUCGCCGACACUCGAAACAGCGAAGCGACGCGCUCUUGGGGAGCCACUGUAAGAUCGGGCCCAAGCGGGUGCCGAGUGCCGCGGGAGGCGGAUUGCAAGUGUCGACGAGCAAUCGGAAAGCUACUUAAGGUGGGUUGUGCUUACCGAAGCGACUAGGUCCCCCUUUAUGUCUUAGCAAUAUAAUCACUUGUUGAUGCAUGUGCAUGUAGACAUGAGUGAAAUAAGGAAUGCAUAUUAGAUAAGAUGCAAGGAUGAAAUGCUAAGUAGAAGGCAUAAUGAAUGUAGCAUGUGUAUAAUGCUAGUUAAGAUAAAGAAUGCAAAGUAGCAUCUUGAAAGCUAAGUAGAUAAUAAUGAUAACUCUAGUGUGAGUAGAGUUGAUUGGACAACUAGGUUGUCAGGUAGAUCGAGUGGCAUCUAACCUAGUGUUAAAGAACAUAGAUUGAGUAGUAAACCUAGAGUCGAACAAUCUAGGUGUGUGGCAUCGAACCUAGCGUUAGUAAACCUAGGUCGAACUAGUAAACCUAGAAAUGGACAUCUAGGCAAAGAGGACAAGAACCUAGCAAGUGUACCUAGGUUAAGUGACAUGGACAUAGAACCUAGAGUGUUGGAACCUAGGUUGAUGAGUAUAGUGGUAUAGCCACUAGAUUGAGCUAGGUCGACAGUAUAGGGUUGGCUAUGAACCCUCGACCUGUGGUAAGUGGAUUCCGGAAUCCCAGGACUUAUGAUGUCCCUGGUACAGGCUAGGGCGUUCGUGCGACGAUUUCGCCGCCGAGCUUGGUACCGUGGGUAGAUUGGGGGCGAUCACAUGGAGAUCACCGCCCGGGGCUUGAACCAUUGUGCUGGCGUUUGUGCGACGAUUUCGCCGCCAGAGUGGUUAAGCCAUUUGAGGAUCAGACCGCCAGAGUAGACUGAAUCCAUGCUGGGUAAGUACGAUGCGGGUGCCUCCAGGUGACUGAGUCUGACAUGAUCGUUGUUGGGUGUGGUGCGACCCGUUCGCCGCCAGACGGUAUGUCAUGUCUCGAGCUCACGCUGGGUAUGUGCAACGCGAUCGCCACCGAUGGUCAAGUCUUGUGACUCGAGCCGUAUUCAGCGUGUGCGACGAUUUCGCCGCUAGGAGGCUGAGUCAGAGAGAGUGCGGUAGGCUGUUGAGCAGCCAGUGCGCGGACUAUCCGCAGAUGAUUGACUCGAAGCCGAGUCGGGUGGUUAGCUAUGAUAAGGUAGAGGAACCCUUAUGGCUAGAGAUAGAGGCUUGAGCCAAGGUAAAUAGAAACCUUAGGGUAAAGAUGUAAGCUAAAGUAGCCAAGUAAAAGUAGAAUUUAAAUGAUCUACUAGUUGUUGCAUGAUUUUCAUAUCGCAUAUUGUUAGGCCUAACAUGUAUUUCAAUUGAAUAUAUAUAUGCAUUGUAUAUUGUUGAACUGACAUGUUGCAGGGCCUACUUAGACCUAUCGGUCGAGCUUUUCCCUUGGGUGGCCGUACCCACUGGGAACCAUGGAGUUGGUUCUCACCCCACGUUGUUUUGGGGUUUUCAGGUCGUUCGUGUGCGGCGCAGCGGCGCGAGGCGAGGGCGUAGCUCAGUAGAUAGCGCCCCACCACAGAGACCGAGGUAGCAGUACCCUGAGGCAGUCUAGCUUAGGGGUCGAGAAGGCGAGAAUCAAGAUGUACUAAACUUGUAAAAUAGAUGAUGUAAUACAUUGUGAUUGUAAUCGGAAGUAAAAUGUAAACUGAGAUGUGUUUAAAUGAAUGCUCGUAAUAGCAAGUAGAUUAUGUAUUUGAUA